UACAGAGGUCUCAAGCGUUGUUCGGAUUCAUUGGGCGUAAAGGGUGCGUAGGUGGCGCCGUAAGUCGGGUGUGAAAUUUCGGAGCUUAACUCCGAAACUGCAUUCGAUACUGCGGUGCUUGAGGACUGGAGAGGAGACUGGAAAUUCAUGGUGUAGCAGUGAAAUGCGUAGAGAUCAUGAGGAAGACCAGUGGCGAAGGCGGGUCUCUGGACAGUUCCUGACACUGAGGCACGAAGGCCAGGGAGCAAACGGG
rnacentral:rRNA from 1 species